rnacentral:lncRNA from 1 species
GUCAUUAAGGAUUAAUUUCUAAAUGCUCCUGAUCGAUGGAUCCAUCACGAGGGACGGUGAUCGAUCCGCUGAGAUUAGUGCACAGAUCACUUAGUCAAAUGGACAAGUCUCGAGUUCACGGUAGAGACAGUGGAGUGAUUAUGCGAGUACUUGUUAGAGAACAAGGUACUGAGCAUGACCAAAGAUAGUAGUCACAUGGAUGUCUAUCCACUCGUCAGUGACUACUUAUGCUGCAGUUGUAUGACUGGUCCUUUGACCUGCGAUGCCUCAGCUAUUCACUGUGAGGUUGCUGUAGUUUGACAAGUAUGUGAACUUGGGCUCUAGCCAUUCGGGUACUUGUAGUGCGGAUUGGCUACAGUAGGUUCAUUUUGGAAUAGGGUUGCAUCUAGAUAGGAUCUAUCGACUUUGAUAGAUUAGGAGUGAUCUUAUGUGAUUUAUGAGACUGAGUUCGAUAAAUUUCUGGCCAGUUAUUUUGGAAAAAGAGUUUUUCAUAUCUCGAACUAGAAGUCAAAUAAAUUUGAUAUAUGACAGAUGAUGGAGUUUGACGAGAUAUCCAUAACCUCCGUCACGUCGGGAUCCAUGAUAGAGGGACUAUAUCAUACGCUAACUACACCUAAAGGUUCAGACAUUCCAUUCUGCUGGGUUGCCACCACAUACUACUAGGUGUCACUAGUGGAUUGUGAGACUCGAAGACAUUCACUUAGUGAUCAGUGAACCCUAAGAGUAGAACUGAAAUCGUUUCAGUCCACUGAAAGGAGUUUCAGUGAUAUUGAUAUGGAGAUCUCAAUAUGUCUCACUACCAGUCAGAAUAGAACCUACGGGAUAUCACACAUAGAGGAUUUAAUUAGUCAGACUAUCAUAAUUAUGAUUUGGAGUCAUAAUAGAAAUCAAUCAUCAAUAUCAUUGGUGAUUGAAUUAACCCACUAAGUGUUAGUGAGUUAAUGGAAGAAGAAUUAAGUGAAAGUGAUUGCAAUUGGGCUGAUUUAAUGAGCCAAAUCAAAUUGGGUUCGACCCAAAUUGAUUUGGGUUCAUGAUUGGGUCAAUUUGAUUAAAUCAAGGAUUGUGCGGAUUUUAAAGACCACAUAUUGUCGUAGGAUGAAUAUGACUUAAGUCAUGUUCACACUAAGCGGACUUUAAAAUCCACAUGGC